GCAUCAUUAGCAUUAUCUUGGCUUCAAGCCUUCUAGAAGGCCAAGACCUUAGUUGACGUCUUCCUUUCCACGGCAGCUUCUUCAAUGGACCCCGUAGUUUUAAUGCACCGUGGAGCCAAACGUGGGAGCAAUGAACAGGUUCACAGCGGAACACCCACCACAGCAGGUUUCACAUCCACCAAGAGUUGGAAACCGUCUCCCACCAGCAUGAUGGGGACCCACACUUGGAUGCCCUUCUAGUAGGAGCAAGUGCCGCUUCUCUCGUGUCGAUGGCUGUAUUCUUAACUCUUGUCUCUUGCCGUCCAUUUGGAUGCAGCCAUCUGAGCUGGUGAACUCUCCAUGUAGAUUUCGUCCUCCGCCAGUAGGUAAUCUCCUGCCAAGCGGUUCUGACAGUUAGCCACUCGCAUCUGGUCUGUUGUGUGGCCAGGAGGUCGAAGGCUGUGGCAGCCUGAUGAAUAACAAUUUCUAGUUCAGCGUGGAAGUGAAUGAUCCUGCUUAACACGUAAACAGGACAUCUAUAGCUCCAAGAUGGGUGACCUCCUAAAUCAAGUUUCUUUCCAAUGAACCUUUUAUUUUUUUCUUCUCCAAACAGUCAUCCAUCUGUAGCAUUCCUCUGGUGACACAGGCCCUGAAUCUAUGUCUUACCGCCUCUUGGUUACAGUGCAUCGUCUCGACACGUGGUUCACAUCAUCUCCCUGGUUGGAACAGGAGUCGGGCAGAACCUUGUAAGAUCAUCAAAGGGAUCCAAACUAGGUAAUAGACUCACAUUCGGGUCAGCAUGGGUUAAACAGCGCGAAUGAACAGAGCCAAACUAACAACCCCAAACGAACCCUAGAAAGCGUAUAGAAGCAAGAUAAAAAAAACCCCAAAACCAUAAGUGACUUGACUGUUCAGUUGGGGUGGAGAAAACAACAGUGAAAGGGCCCCUCCAAACAAGUUCAGGGGCUGAAUAUUCCAUUCUCUGCCCCAGACUCAACCUCCAGGCUUGGAGGAGUGUGGGCCAAACUCACUGGCAAUCUUUCUCCGACCCAUUGGUUGAGAACCUGUGGGUUUUCACGUACCAUGCCCUGAUAUUUGACCAUUCCCUCAUUAGUCAACCAGUAGUGUCCUUUAUAUUCUAACGAUGUCAAAAUUCAAUGAAGAACUCUGACAACCAGUUCUUGUCCCAUGGCCACUUUAUCAGCUUCCGACACCAGAAGAGCUGCGGCUGCAAGGGCCCGUAAACAAGGUGGCCAGCCCUGGGCUACAGAAUCCAGCUGUUUGGACACAUAGGCCACUGGACGGUGCCAUGUCCCCAGCAUCUGAGUCCAAACUCCUAUAGGUACUCGAGACCAAUCAAGGACAUGCAGGAAGAAAGGCUUCGUGAGGUCCGGGAGCCCGGAUCCAGGUGCACAGGGUAUUUUAAGUCCUCUGUCCUGGACCACAGCUGCUUCAUUUGAUUCCUCACAUUAUGAAGCUUCCAGCAUCUUGGACCAAGCGGAUACCAGUUUCCCAGUAUUGCCAUCCUGCAGGCAAACAUUUGGUGACUGUUCCUCCCAUGAUUAUGUCUUCUGCACCUCUCCUGCCAUCGAUGUUCUGUCUCUUGUAUUUCACCCAAAUAUAUCCCAGUGGGUAUCAGGUAUUGAAAUCCACAUAUAUUCCCGCUCUUCCUGCAGCUGAGCACCGGAACAACAAUGCAAUUCAGUGUCUUGGAGCCAUUGACAUUCGGGGAUGUGGCUAUUGAUUUCUCUGAGGAGGAAUGGGAAUGCCUGGAUCCUGCUCAGCAGAAUUUACAUAGAGAAGUGAUGUUGGAGAACUACAGCAACCUGCUGUUUGUGGAGAAGACCUACCAAUGAGAAGAGCGCAACACACUCAAGAACUUUACUCAACAUCACGGUGUUCAUACAGGAGGUAUGCCAAGCAAAGAGUGUGACAAAACUUCUAAUAAAAGCUCCAAUCUUAUUUGUCACCAGUGGAUACACAUUGAAGAGAUGCCCCACGUGUGUAAACAAGUUUGCGAAGCUUUUAAUCAAAAACCAAGCCUAAAAAAUCACCAGAGAAUCCACACUGGAGAGAAGCCCUACAACUGUAAAGAGUGUGGCAAGAGUUUUAAUAAAAAAAUAUUCACUUACUUCCCAGUCAGGACCCUGAAAAGCUCUUUGGGACUCCCCAGUACAUAGGUUCAGUGUUGGGUUUUCCUAGUCUUGCAAUAGAGUUGCCUGUGUCUUUCCCUUUUGCUUUCUCUCUUGCUUUCAUAGUAUGACUCAAGGAAACACUGUCUUGUGUGAAGAGAGUGUCAUCCUUAUCUAUUGUACCUGACCUGCCAAGUUGAGCAGCUGCCCACAAACUGAAUGUCACAAACACAUGUAUGUGUCAUCUAAUCAGUAACUAGUGUGUCUUCAACUGCAUGGUUUUUUAUCGGACGGGGGAGGAAGUUGAGAACGCUUUGAGUGUCCACAGCACAAUUCAUAGUAUUCAUAACACUGCUGUGUAAUGUUUCCGCUCUGCUCAACUUGUAAGUAAGUAUUGUUCUUGUGCUGCUUUGUAAAACAAAUAGAAAAGAGUUGCAAACCAAAAAAUUUGUGAUAAUAUAGUUGCACAGACUGACUGGGGCAACUCUGUUUACCAUUGUUUAUUAUUUUGUAGGGGCUCAAGGUACUCUUUUAUAAUUUUAUUUAACCUUAAUGACAUUAGCAUUUAUUGAAGAGUUUUUCACUCACAAACCUUCUCGGUAUACAAAUUUUCCCUCAUCAUUUUUAAAAUUUCUUACUCUUUUUAGGUAUACAUGACAGUAGAGCAAAUUUUGACAUAUUAUUCAUGGAGGAAAACUCAUUUUAGUUAGCAUUCCAUUCUUGAGGUGCACAUGCUGUGGACCUUCCCUGGUGGUGUGUUUAUGUAUGAACACUGAGAAGGUGUGUCUCAUUCAUCCUACUGUUGUCUGUACUCCUAUUUCCCUUUCCUUCCCUUCGUUCCAAAUUUGUCUAAUCCACUGGAUUUCUAUUAUCUCCCCGUCCCUUGUUGAGUGGUUUAGUGCCCACAUAUAAUAUUUAUAUAUAUUAAAUAUAUAAUAUGUAUAAUAUAAUAUAUAUAAUAUUUAUUAUCUUAUAUGUAAUGUCUGUUUCACUCUACUAUCCUUCCUAUCCCCAUAUCCCCUCCCCUCCCUGCACUCCUCUCUACUUUAGAUUAAGUCUCUAUCUUCCCCACACCCCAUUGUGAGUUAGCAUCCACUUACCAGAGAGAACAUUUGGCCUCUGUUUUCCUGUGGGUGUGUGUGUGUUGGCCUAUUUCACUUAGCAUGAUAUUCUCCAACUCCGUCCAUUCACCACCAAAUGCCAUAGUUUCAUUCAUCUUUAAAUCUAAGUCAUAUUCAAUUGGUGGGGGAUAUAUAUAUAAAAUCACAUUUUAUUGAUCCAUUCAUCUGUUGAAGGACACCUAGGUUGGUUCUAGGGUUUAGCUGUUGUGAAUUGUGCUGCUGUAAACCUUGGUGCGGCUGUGUCCCUGUCGUGUGCUGUUCUUCAGUCCCAGGAGAGGGACAGCUGGGUCAAAUGGUGGUUCCAUGCUGGUUUUGCAAGGAGUCUCCAUACUUAUUGACAUCCUGACCUUCAGCGAGGGUGGCAUGCAGAAACAUGUUUGGCGCUUAAUUGCUGCCUCAGAAGUCUUACAUCUUACUGAGAAACCUUUACCAGACUUUGUAGGCAAGAACUAGAAGGAAGGUUCUAGCUAUGGCUUAUGGGCCUGUGUUCAAUCUCCUUAUGUUUUAAUUACAGGAAAUGUAAAAGUUAAAAGGGAAGAUGAUAGACAUCUUGUAACAUGUAGUGAAUGUAAUUUAACUAAUUGUAUCACCAGAAAUAAUAGAGGAAAAGGAACGAUGAUGCUCCAUCAGGCCUCCUUUAUUACCAGGAAAUAUUUCAGAGCCAUGGUAGGCUGAUGCUGAUGCUUCAAGUCUUACAACAAAUACACGCCCAGCUCGCGAGACCUAAGUGUGCUCUUGGACUCAUAAUAGUGAGAGUUGUUCCCUUGGUUUCUUGUAUUGCUUGCAUGGUGACAGCUUUGGUGGCCAUAUCUCAAAUAUUCAACAUGCACAUUUUCUUAAUUAUUUGGCUCAGAAUACUUCCAAGGCUCUUCACAAUCAAAUAAAUGUUGAUGAAAGAUUGAGACCAAGCUAAAUGCCUUAGAGGCUGCUGUCAUGAAUAUAGAUAAUGCACUUUCCACUUUGAAAUUCAAGGAAAGACCUAAAUGUCCUGCUAGAUAUAAGUAUGUGUGUGUCACUGCUGCCAAGUGCAAAGCUUCUUAGUGGUAUUGGGAGAAGCUUCAAAACCAUUUGUUGGAUAUUUGGCAGAAGAAAGAUAACCGCUUGGUUCUUUUGGAGCUGCAUCAUCAGAUUCAAGAUAUACAAAAAAGUAAGGUCGAUUUUUCAGAUCCUACUUUUUUAGCUGAUCAAAUACUUAAGGAGUAAACAGCUUUAACCCUGGAAACAUUCUUAAACACUCUGCAUGGUCUAUCCUUGUAUUGUUCUCAUUGCUACUUAUUCUCUCUUGUGUUGUAAUUGUAGGAUGUUGUGCCCCUAGAAGAAGAAUCAGGGACUCAAAAUAAUGACCCAUCACCUGCUUUUUCCAAGAAAGAACAGAUAUGUGGGAAGCUCUUCUGAGUGACCCAUGCCUUCCAGUCCUGCAGCAGGAGGCUCUGACCAGUCACUACAUUUGUGGUGACUGGGCAUUGUCCCAGCUCAAAUAGAGGGGGGGGGGUCUUCAGAUGUAGGCGUUUCCCAGGAGGGUUGAGUUAUACUCACGUGUCUCUUGUAACCCUGCCCCCUCUGGCCUUUUUUGAAUAGAACUUUCUAAGAACAAGAGUCCUCCAAUGAAAGCUCUCUUCUGAAUGUGGUCACUUUCUCACCAGCCUCUCCUGCCUUCCUCUUGGCCUCCCUUUUGGGGAUCCUGAGGCCAAGGGCAGAGAAGAAGUCCUGAAGCUUGUGUGAAGGUAAAGUGUGUCUGUGUUUUAUUUGGUUCCCUGGAAAUUCACACGAGUGCCCUUAGGUUCAGCUGACUGUGCAGGUCGGGGCUGGCGAUUUGUAACUGUUGUUCAGAGGGAUCACACACACACACACACACACACACACACACACACACACACACACACACCUUAGAUUUUUCAAGAGUAAAAGCAAAAGCAAAAAUGGCCCUGGGAUGACUAGAUAUCCACAAGAAGAAACAAAAAGUAUUUGGAUACGUCCCUCACAUCAUGUACAAAAGUAAAAUUUUUUUUUAAAAGGAUCAAAGUCCUUUGUGUCAUAGCUAGAAGCAAAAAACUCAUAAAAAACAGUUGAGGAAAUUUUGGUUACUUUGGAUGUGCUGGUGGCUAUUGAAUAUUCGUAUUUAUUUUAAUCAGUUAGAAUAAUCCCCGUUUAAAAGUGGUAUGAUUUCAUGUCAAAAUAAACCUUAAUGUUACAUAUAACUGAAAUUCACUAAUAAAAAAUAAAAUUUAAAUAUGAACAAAGGCACUGGCGAUGUCGCUCAGGGGUAAAGCAUCCCCGAGUUCAGUUUUCAGUACCAACAAAUGAUUAUUAAAGGAACAAAGACAUUUCUGACUGUAACAGGCUUCGUCUUGACUCUGUUGACACUUCUGUGGGUUUGGUGAAAACGAGAACCUUUUCCAUGAUAAUUCAUGAUUUGUUAAAAAAUUAUAAGAUUUCUCUUUUUUUGUGUCUCAACAACAUGUUCCUGACUACAUGAAAAGCCACAAGUGUACAGAGGUCAGUUUGGGGUCAGAAGGUAAUUAGUUAAUAUUAUUUCUUUGACAGCCCUUCAGCUAAUAUGACUCCACACAAGGCUAUGGAUCAUUUGGCUCCAGAGGAAUAAUCUUUACUCUUCAGAAAUUUCAACUUUAUUUAAGUCUAUAGAUUAAGAUAAAUGGAUGUCCAGGUUUGACUUCUACAAGAUUGCACAGGGGGAUCCUUCUCUACCUUCCCAUCAACUAUUGGCAGAAGAAAGGAUUGCCGUAACAAAGGCUGAAUCUGCCACGGAGACUGCACAGCUUACCAGAAUUAACCCACAAGAGCCUGUAUAUGGAUUAACAUUUCCCACUCUUCAUACCCCUACAGGAGCAAUGUGGCGAUAAUUGGGAAUUAUUGAGUGGCCUUGCCUACCUCAUUCUCCUCAAAAGUCAUCGACUCCAUGCCAUGGCUUUAUUGCUCAGUUAGUUACUAAAGGAAGAACACGAGUUUUUCAGAGAGUUGGGUCAUAGCCUAAUAUGAAUGUUGGCCCUUUUUCUACUCAAGAGCAGGAUUGGCUUUGGCAGUCUUCUAACACUUGGCCGAUAGCUUUUGCUAAUUUCCCUGGCCAAAUGGAAAGCCAUUACCUUCGUGAUAAAAUUAUUCAGUUUGCUCUUGUGACUACAUUUAUUUUCCCCAAAAUUGUAUGUGCUUAACCAAUAGUUGGAGCACUAACAAUAUUUACUGAUGGAUCGAGUUCAGGAAAAGCAGGUUUCUAUAGCCAUGUAUUAUACAGAGAUAAUACAGACGUCUUAUACUUCUGCACAACGAGCAGAACUUCAAGCUCACAUUUGUGCUUUAAUU